CUACGGGACGCUCCAGUUUCGAAUAAUUCACAAUGGGCGCAAGCCUGAUGAUGCGACGUUACGUGAAGGAAGAAAGCUUUAAGUUGUAAACUUCUGUCGUUAAGGAACAAAAAAUUAAGUAGUACUUUUUAUAUUGAGUUAACUUAAAAAGGAAGCAGUGGCUAAUUUCGUGCCAGCAGCCGCGGUAAUACGGGAACUGCAAGCGUUGCUCGGUUUUAUUGGGCGUAAAGAGUACGUAGGCUGUUAUAUAUGUUAAUUGUUAAAUUUUAAAGUUAAUCUUUAAAUUUGCUGUUAAAACUAUAUAACUAGAAUGUCAAAGAGGUAAGUGGAAUUUCAAGUGUAGCGGUGAAAUGCGUAGAUAUUUGAAGGAACACCAAUGGCGAAAGCAACUUACUGGGUGAUAAUUGACGCUAAAGUACGAAAGUAUAGGGAGCAAAAGGGAUUAGAUACCCCCGUAGUC
rnacentral:rRNA from 1 species